GAGCAACGCCGCGUGAGUGAUGAAGGUUUUCGGAUCGUAAAACUCUGUUGUUAGGGAAGAACAAGUGCCAUUCGAAUAGGUUGGCACCUUGACGGUACCUAACCAGAAAGCCCCGGCUAACUACGUGCCAGCAGCCGCGGUAAUACGUAGGGGGCAAGCGUUGUCCGGAAUUAUUGGGCGUAAAGCGCGCGCAGGCGGUCCUUUAAGUCUGAUGUGAAAGCCCACGGCUUAACCGUGGAGGGCCAUUGGAAACUGGAGGACUUGAGUACAGAAGAGGAGAGUGGAAUUCCACGUGUAGCGGUGAAAUGCGUAGAGAUGUGGAGGAACACCAGUGGCGAAGGCGACUCUCUGGUCUGUAACUGACGCUGAGGUGCGAAAGCGUGGGUAGCGAACAGGAUUAGAUACCCUGGUAGUCCACGCCGUAAACGAUGAGUGCUAGGUGUUAGGGGGUUUCCGCCCCUUAGUGCUGAAGUUAACGCAUUAAGCA
rnacentral:rRNA from 1 species